rnacentral:snoRNA from 1 species
UGAGCAAUGAGGAUACAAUUUCCACAGUGAUGAACCCUGAUGACUGUAUACGCUAUUCUGAGCCACAGCU